rnacentral:rRNA from 1 species
UACGUAGGGUCCGAGCGUUGUCCGGAAUUAUUGGGCGUAAAGAGCUCGUAGGCGGUUUGUCGCGUCUGCUGUGAAAUCCCGAGGCUCAACCUCGGGUCUGCAGUGGGUACGGGCAGACUGGAGUGCGGUAGGGGAGAAUGGAAUUCCUGGUGUAGCGGUGGAAUGCGCAGAUAUCAGGAGGAACACCGAUGGCGAAGGCAGUUCUCUGGGCCGUGAACUGACGCUGAGGAGCGAAAGCGUGGGGGAGCGAACAGG